UAAGGAGUAGUAUAAGGGGAGUACAGAGAGUUUUGAUCUCUCAGGUAUAGGUUCGAUUCCUAUUUCUUUAA
rnacentral:tRNA from 1 species